AGUGGACGGAAGGCUUCUUUCAACAACUGCAACAGUUAGUCAUUCACCUCAGUAGCUUACUAGACAAAAUAGCCGAACCAAUUAAGCUCUUUAGACGCUUUAGUGUAUAUUAGCCACUGUGUUUUAAACCCACUUCUGUCGUCUAGUUAGUUAUCCGUUUUAAUGCAAUAUUUACGGUGUUGUUAUUAGUCAUCUAGCGGGCGUGUUAAGUUAGCAUUAGCCCAGCUAGCUAACAUCUCCGACCAUGAGCUCACUAAGAAAAGAGGGAAUGUGGCUGAACGUUCUUGUGAAAGAGGAAGAGGUGGAUGUCACAAUACAAAAACAAAUAGAGGGUGAGGCUGUUAUAGUGAAAGAAGAAGAGAAAGACGUUUCAGUUAAACAAGAGGAAGACGCGUUCAGAGUGAAAGAGGAGGAUGUUACUGUUAAAGAAGAGGAGGGGGAGAUGAGUCACAUUGGAAGAAGACGAGGAUGAAACUGGAUAUCUGGGCUCGGUUUCCCAAUGGCAUCCAAUGGUUCUAACGAUAAACGGGCCCAGAUUAACACUAGAGAGAGAUGUGACUAUCUUGGGUCCUCUGGGGACUCUCAACAACAUCAUGAUGCUGAAGAGGCAGAGAAGAGUCUCUCCAGAUCAGAACACCCCAAGAAACACCAGCAGAGACCCACAUUGAAGAAUCCUUACUGCUGCUCUGACUGUGAGAAGAACUGCAAAUCUAAAUCAGAACUUAAAAUCCACCAGAGAAUCCACACAGGAGAAAAAACGUAACACUGCUCUCAUUGUGGAAUGAGUUUCUCUAGAUCAUAUUCAUUGAAAACACACCUGCUAAUUCACACAGGAGAGAAAUCUUAUAUCUGUACUCAAUGUGGGUAGAGUUUUACUACAUCUUCCAAUCUGACUAAACAUCAGAAAACACACAACAGAGAAACCUUAUAGCUGUGAUCAAUGUAGGAAGAGUUGUUACAUCUGGCUAUCUGACUGUACACCAGAGAACACACACAGGAGAGAAACAUUUUAACAGUACUCAAUGUGGGAAGAGUUUUAUUUAGGCAAGCUGCCUGAAAGAACACCUAAGAACGCACACAGGAGAGAAAUCUUAACACUGCUCUGACUGCGAAAAGAGUUUUGUUGGCUUAAGUGAUUUAAAGAUCAGAGAACACACAGUAGAGUUCCCAUAUAGCUGUGAUCAAUGUGACAAGAGAUACUUUGAUGAAAGAUCUCUGAUCAAACAUCAGAAAAUACAUAGAUGAAGGAUUUGUUUUAAUAAUGUCAAAUCAAAUGUAUUUAUAUAGCCCUUCGUACAUCAGUUGAUAUCUCAAUGUGCUGUACAGAAACCCAGACUAAAACUCCAAACAGCAAGCAAUGCAGGUGUAGAAGCCCAAACCUAGGAAGAAACCUAGAGAGGAACCAGGCUAUGUGGGGUGGCCAGUCCUCUUCUGGCUGUGCCGGGUGGAGAUUAUAACAGAACAUGGCCAAGAUGUUCAAAUGUUCAUAAAUGACCAACAUGGUCAAAUAAUAAUAAUCACAGGCAGAACAAUUGAAACUGGAGGAGCAGCAGCACCGCCAGGUGGACUGGGGACAGCAAGGAGUCAUGUCAGGUAGUCCUGAGGCAUGGUCCUAGGGCUCAGGUCCUCCGAGAAAGAGAAUUAGAGAGAGCAUACUUAAAUUCACACAGGACACCGGAUAGGACAGGAGAAGUACUCCAGAUAUAACAAACUGACCCUAGCCCCGACACAAACUACUGCAGCAUAAAUACUGGAGGCUGAGACAGGAGGGGUCAGUAGACACUGUGGCCCCAUCCGAGGACACCCCCGGACAGGGCCAAACAGGAAGGAUAUAAUCCCACCCACUUUGCCAAAGCACAGCCCCCACACCACGAGGGAUAUCUUCAACCACCAACUUACCAUCCUGAGACAAGGCUGAGUAUAGCCCACAAAGAUCUCCGCCACGGCCCAACCCAGACAGGAUCACCAUAUAGGUUAAUAAUGUCACAAUGUCUGUAGUGGCUUCCUUUCGUCCUUACCAUAGCCACUGCCCAAGCCUGAAGCGGGGUUGUUUGGUACGCAUACAGUACACACUCAAGGUUUCUAAACGGCCAAACAUUCAAUGACAUCCAGGGAUAUGGUGCAACAAAAAUGCUUAUUCUUCUUAUAUCUAACAAAUAAAUGAUACUCCAAUCAA